rnacentral:rRNA from 1 species
UACAGAGGUCUCAAGCGUUUUUGUUCGGAUUUCAUUUGGGCGUAAAGGGUGCGUAGGUGGCGCCGUUAAGUUCAGGGUGUGAAAUUUUUUCGGAGCUUUAACUCCGAAACUGCAUUUUGAUAACUGCGGUGCUUUGAGGACUGGAGAGGAGACUGGAAUUUUAACGGUGUAGCGGUGAAAUGCGUAGAUAUCGUAAGGAAGACCAGUUGGCGAAGGCG